GAUAAAUUUUAUAUGGUUUAAAAAUUUUAUUUUAAAUUUAUUUUACAUAUAAAUUUUAGUGUUAAUAUUUAUUUAUUUAAAAAAAAAUGUAUUUAUUUAGUAGUAAUUAAUAUUAUAAAUUUAAGAAAUUAUGAUUUAGUAAUAUAAAAAUUAUUAACAAAUUUUGUGCCAGCAGUUGCGGUUAUACAAAAGUUAAAUUAAAUUUUAUUAGUUAUUUAAUUAAUAAUUAAUUAAUUAUAAUUUAAAUUUGAAAUUAUUAGGUGAAAUUUUAAUUUUAAUGUAUAUUAUAAAUUUAAUUAUGAUUUAAUAGAUUUUAAAAUUUAAACUAGGAUUAGAUACCCUAUUAUUAAAAAAUUUAAAAUUAAAAUACUUAAAUAGUAAAUAAUUAUUUAUUGAAACUUAAAUGUUUUGGCGGUGUUUUAGUUUAUUUAGAGGAAUCUGUUUAUUAAUUGAUAAUCCACGAAUAAAUUUACUUAAUUUAUUAUUUUGUAUAUCGUUGUUAAAAAAAUAUUUUUUAAUAAUUAAAUAAUAUUUAAAAAUUUUUAUUAAAAAUUAAAUCAAAUCAAGAUGCAGAUUAUAGUUAAGAAUAUAAUGGAUUACAAUAAAAUUAUUUAAAUGGAUUAUAAUUUGUAAAAAUUAUAUAAAGGUGGAUUUAAAUGUAAUUUUAUUUAUUUUAAUAAAAUGAUUAAAAAAUUAAAAUAUGUACAUAUUGCCCGUCGCUUUCAUUUAUAAAUUGAAAUAAGUCGUAACAAAGUAGAGGUACUGGAAAGUGUUUCUAGAAAGAA
rnacentral:ncRNA from 1 species